rnacentral:rRNA from 1 species
GACGAACGCUGGCGGCGUGCCUAAUACAUGCAAGUAGGACGCAGUUGCGAACGGGUGAGUAACGCGUAGGUAACUACCUAUUAGAGGGGGAUAACUAUUGGAAACGAUAGCUAAUACCGCAUACUAGUAGAUGGACCUGCGUUGUAUUAGGUAGUAGGUAGGGUAAUGGCCUACCUAGGCAACGAUACAUAGCCGACGUGGGAGGGUGAUCGGCCAAAAAGGGACUGAGAAACGGGCCAGACUCCUACGGGGGGCAGCAGUAGGGAAACUUCGGCAAUGGGGGGAACCCUGACCGAGCAACGCCGCGGGAGUGAAAAAGGUUUGCGGAUCGUAAAGCUCUGUUGUUAGGGAAGCGGUACUUAACGAGAAAGGGACGGAUAACUACGUGCCAGCAGCCGCGGUAAUAC